UACGUAGGGUGCGAGCGUUAAUCGGAAUUACUGGGCGUAAAGCGUGCGCAGGCGGUGAUGUAAGACAGGUGUGAAAUCCCCGGGCUUAACCUGGGAACUGCAUUUGUGACUGCAUUGCUGGAGUGCGGCAGAGGGGGAUGGAAUUCCUGGUGUAGCAGUGAAAUGCGUAGAUAUCAGGAGGAACACCGAUGGCGAAGGCAGGUCUCUGGGCUGACACUGACGCUCAUGCACGAAAGCGUGGGGAGCAAACAGG
rnacentral:rRNA from 1 species